rnacentral:rRNA from 1 species
GGCGGAGGAUGCAAGCGUUAUCCGGAAUGAUUGGGCGUAAAGCGUCCGUAGGUGGCAGUUCAAGUCUGCUGUCAAAGACCGGGGCUCAACCUCGGAAAGGCAGUGGAAACUGAACAGCUAGAGUAUGGUAGGGGCAAAGGGAAUUCCUGGUGUAGCGGUUAAAUGCGUAGAGAUCAGGAAGAACAUCGGUGGCGAAGGCGCUUUGCUGGACCAUAACUGACACUGAGGGACGAAAGCUAGGGGAGCGAAUGGGAUUAGAUACCCCAGUAGUCCUAGCCGUAAACGAUGGAUACUAGGUGUUGUCUGUAUCGACCCGGACAGUGCCGUAGCUAACGCGUUAAGUAUCCCGCCUGGGGAGUACGCACGCAAGUGUGAA